UGCUGGUGCUGGUCUCUAUGGGUGUGGCGCUGUGUCACUUGUUUACCUUAUCUUUUCUGGGGAAAGAGUUUGGAAGUCUGGUUUGAGUUUGUCACCAUCAAGCCUGUUGCCUAGCGCGACCCCAAGUUGUCCCUCAGCCUCAACGGGUCACAAAGAUGGGGCAGAGGGGGACGAGGUGGCUGUAGGC
rfam:Erinaceus europaeus unplaced genomic scaffold scaffold00635, whole genome shotgun sequence